UACAGAGGUCUCGAGCGUUAGGCGGAAUCACUGGGCUUAGAGCGUGUGUAGGUGGAUCGUUAAGUACCUUGUGAAAUCUCACAGCUUAACUGUGAAACUGCAUUGGAUACUAUCCGGCUCGAGGAAUGGAGGGGAGACUGGAAUACUUGGUGUAGCAGUGAAAUGCGUAGAUAUCAAGUGGAACACCAGUGGCGAAGGCGAGUCUCUGGACAGUUCCUGACGCUGAGGCACGAAAGCCAGGGGAGCAAACGGG
rnacentral:rRNA from 1 species